CUGGAAGUUUCUUCAACCUUGAAAUCCUACCUUACAUUCUGCUUCUUCAAGAACAUUCCAGUCCACUGUAAGAAUAGCCAGAUACACCUUGCAGUUUACAAAAUAUGUCUGCCUGAGUGGGCAACUCUAUUAGCCCCAAUGUAUGAAUGAGAGAGUUGAGACACAGAAGGUUGACUGAUUUGCCAGAGGCUACAGAGCAGCUGCUAUUCAGAGCCUAGACCUAGCCUUAGGUUUUUUUCUUCAGAUCUGCUUUUACCUCAGUAAUCACUCCCUCUGACCUCACAGCAUUAUGGUCUUCAUCACUCCUUCAAUCCUUAUUCACACACUGUCUACCAGCAGAAAGAGCCUUGAGAGUUGGGGGCAAGGCAUAAGAGACAUCAUCCUCUAUUUGACAUCAAAAGUGGCCUGUAAGUGCACAGGUAAUGAGCUGAGCUACCUGGAAAUGACCCUUGGUAAGAUGGUCUGUGAAUGGAGCCCUCUUUCUAGGUGGCCUUGUGAACACACUGCCACCCUGAAGAAGACCCUGGUGGUCCCUUUCUCUUCCUUUCCUCUCUGGGUUCCUGAUUUCAUCAGCGAUCCUUCAGACAGCAACAACAGCCUGGGUGCAUCCAGCCUUGCUUUCUUGCUCUCCAUCUUUAGAGUCGUACGUUUGGAAAUAUUAUGUUGCUCUCCUUUUUCAAGAGGGGCUUCACUGGUGGCUCAGAUGAUAAAGAGUCUGCCUGCAGUGGAGGAGACCCAGGUUCGAUUCCUGGGUCGGGAAGAUCCCCUGGAGAAGGAAAUGGCAAUCCACUCCAAUAUCCUUG
ensembl:lncRNA